rnacentral:lncRNA from 1 species
AAGCAAUUUGCUCAUAGCCAUAGCUUUCUUGUGAAAGUAGGAUAUUAACCCAGGUGUCUUGGUGCUGGAGAACAGAACUGGCCAGAGUCCAUCCUGUCUCCCACCGGCAUCCCAUUACGAAAUGAACACAGAAAAGGCAGGUCUGCAAUGCCAACAUCUAGUAUCUAUCCCAAAGACCAGGGAGAAAGGAAGGAAAGAUUCUGGUUCUGUCCUCUUCCCCAAGGCAAGGCUGGCUGCCCUACCAACAGAGGCAAAGAGAAGAGUGUGCAAGGCUGGCUGCCCUCCCAACAGAGGCAAAGAGGAGUGUGUGUUGAAAUAUCCAUUGAAUCCCUGAGACAACUGGAUCCUGGCCCAUUGAAUCAUAAACUCAGCAGAAUCUCACAUCAUAACCCCAAAUGACCUGUUACUCACCAUGUGGCCCAGCUGUCUUCAAACUCACCAGCCUCCUGCCUUAGCCUUCUAAAUGCUUGGAUUACAGGCAUGACCCACCAUAACUGGCUUUGUUUUAGUUUCAGAGAAGAUGAAACUGAUGUGCGUCAAAAAGUAAACUACCCACAUUUUAACUGGGCACAUUCCUGUCAAUCUGAUGAGAAUCUAUUUCAUACCCUGCUUUAGCUGGUAGUCUGUCAAGGAAAUGAGCUGAACAUGUCUGUGUACAGCUUUUGUGCCAUCCCUGGAUGAGCGAGCUGUCUGCCUCUAUGUUCUCCACAAAAUGGAAUAUAGCUGUACACCCAAGCCAAGUUAUGGAGGCUGGGAAGACCUAGAAUGUGGCAUCACUAUUUGCUGAAAUUUUUAAUAUAAUGCCUCUUAGCCUGGUUUGGAGAAAACGUCACAGAGAGGCACCAUUUGUUGUGGUUUUACAUGAAAAUUUUCUGACCCUGAACCUGGUUUGAUGGAAAUCAUUUGCUGAGGAAACCAUGCCGAUUACCGACCGAGCUCUCAAUGGAAAAAUGCAGUCGGCGUGAACCACGCACGAACACAGCAGAGAAAGAAGAAAACACACACCACGAGGAACCCUAAUAGGACAAUACAUUAUAAGCCUCAUGGUACAUCCACUUGGUGUGCUGGGAGAGUCAGGAUGAGGACCUGAGAAGAACAGCAGCUUGAACCUGACUUCAUUUAACAGCCCACUGCCCUCUUGCCAAGAACCCAUCACAGACCUUCCCAGAAGAGAGGGAUGAGCCUCACCUAUGAAUAAGUCCUCAGAAACUCAAAUUUGAUUCUAAUGGAUUGUUUUCUCAGAAAGACUGAGCAUGUCCCCCCACAUCUCUGUCAUUUCCCACAGUAGUAACCUCUGCAGAUGCCACAUAGAAAACAAAACAAAACAAAAAAACAUGAGGUUGGUGGGCAGAUAGGCAGGGUAUAAACAAACAGCCUUGUAACCCAGAAGCUGUGUGAUAUACAGUAAACUUCACAACACUGAAAAGAUGUCCUAUCUGUUAAAAUGGGGUAAUAACAACUACCCGAAUGUUUAGGAAUAGAACUUCAAUAAAUGAUACAUUUUAUAGUACAGCAGACCAUCCUGUAAAGGUUUCAUCCUUCACUGUGGUGAUAAAUAUCCCAAACCACAUUGAAAAGCAUUGCAUCUACAUUUAUCUACACUGUAACUGUACUGUAAAUCAUGGGGGAGGGGAGAAUCAUAAAAACACCACCUGUCACCGUGUCAUUAAAGCAAGUUGGAAGUGAUACUUACAGAAACACAGCAAGAGCACCCCCAGUCACACAGUUCAAUCUCUUAGCAAGCGUUUUCUUUCUAGCCCAGUGGUUCUCAGUUUGGAAUUUUUGGCACUGCCUAGAGAUAGUUUUGUUGUUAAAACUGAGAAAAGAGCCGGGCGUGGUGGCACACGCCUUUAAUCCCAGCACUCAGGAGGCAGAGGCAGG